rnacentral:rRNA from 1 species
UACGUAGGGCGCAAGCGUUGUCCGGAAUUAUUGGGCGUAAAGAGCUCGUAGGCGGCCUGUUGCGUCCGCUGUGAAAUCCCGGGGCUCAACCCCGGGCCUGCAGUGGAUACGGGCUGGCUAGAGGCAGGCAGGGGGAGAACGGAAUUCCUGGUGUAGCGGUGAAAUGCGCAGAUAUCAGGAGGAACACCGGUGGCGAAGGCGGUUCUCUGGGCCUGUACUGACGCUGAGGAGCGAAAGCGUGGGGGAGCGAACAGG